rnacentral:rRNA from 1 species
UAAGGGGCUAAUACCGAGAGUGCUCCACCUGUUCCCAUCCCGAACACAGAAGUGAAAUCUCUCAAGGCCGAUGAUAGUGAGAAAUAUCUCGCGAAAGUAGGUAGGCCUCUUAC